AUUGAACGCUGGCGGCAGGCCUAACACAUGCCAGUCGAGCGGAUGAAGGGAGCUUGCUCCUGGAUUCAGCGGCGGACGGGUGAGUAAUGCCUAGGAAUCUGCCUGGUAGUGGGGGAUAACGUCCGGAAACGGGCGCUAAUACCGCAUACGUCCUGAGGGAGAAAGUGGGGGAUCUUCGGACCUCACGCUAUCAGAUGAGCCUAGGUCGGAUUAGCUAGUUGGUGGGGUAAAGGCCUACCAAGGCGACGAUCCGUAACUGGUCUGAGAGGAUGAUCAGUCACACUGGAACUGAGACACGGUCCAGACUCCUACGGGAGGCAGCAGUGGGGAAUAUUGGACAAUGGGCGAAAGCCUGAUCCAGCCAUGCCGCGUGUGUGAAGAAGGUCUUCGGAUUGUAAAGCCCUUUAAGUUGGGAGGAAGGGCAGUAAGUUAAUACCUUGCUGUUUUGACGUUACCAACAGAAUAAGCACCGGCUAACUUCGUG
rnacentral:rRNA from 1 species